rnacentral:rRNA from 1 species
AGGAGAGUUUGAUCCUGGCUCAGGAUGAACGCUGGCGGCGUGCUUAACACAUGCAAGUCGAACGGAGUAUAUUUAAAAGCUUGCUUUUGCUUAUACUUAGUGGCGGACGGGUGAGUAACGCGUGGGUAACCUGCCUUAUACCGGGGGACAACAGUUGGAAACGACUGCUAAUACCGCAUAAGCGCACAGUAUCGCAUGAUACAGUGUGAAAAACUCCGGUGGUAUAAGAUGGACCCGCGUCUGAUUAGCCAGUUGGCGGUGUAACGGACCACCAAAGCGACGAUCAGUAGCCGGCCUGAGAGGGCAAACGGCCACAUUGGGACUGAGACACGGCCCAAACUCCUACGGGAGGCAGCAGUGGGGAAUAUUGCACAAUGGAGGAAACUCUGAUGCAGCGACGCCGCGUGAGUGAAGAAGUAUUUCGGUAUGUAAAGCUCUAUCAGCAGGAAAGAAAAUGACGGUACCUGACUAAGAAGCCCCGGCUAACUACGUGCCAGCAGCCGCGGUAAUACGUAGGGGGCAAGCGUUAUCCGGAUUUACUGGGUGUAAAGGGAGCGUAGACGGUUUGGCAAGUCUGAAGUGAAAGCUCGGGGCUCAACCCCGGAACUGCUUUGGAAACUGUCGAACUGGAGUGCAGGAGAGGUAAGCGGAAUUCCUAGUGUAGCGGUGAAAUGCGUAGAUAUUAGGAGGAACACCAGAGGCGAAGGCGGUUUACUGGACUGUAACUGACGUUGAGGCUCGAAGGCGUGGGGAGCAAACAGGAUUAGAUACCCUGGUAGUCCCCU